AGUAGUCACGAGUUUGAUCAUGGCUCAGAACGAACGCUGGCGGCAUGCCUAACACAUGCAAGUCGAACGAGACCUUCGGGUCUAGUGGCGCACGGGUGCGUAACGCGUGGGAAUCUGCCCUUAGGUUCGGAAUAACUUCGGGAAACUGAAGCUAAUACCGGAUGAUGACGUAAGUCCAAAGAUUUAUCGCCUAAGGAUGAGCCCGCGUUGGAUUAGCUAGUUGGUGAGGUAAAGGCUCACCAAGGCGACGAUCCAUAGCUGGUCUGAGAGGAUGAUCAGCCACACUGGGACUGAGACACGGCCCAGACUCCUACGGGAGGCAGCAGUGGGGAAUAUUGGACAAUGGGCGAAAGCCUGAUCCAGCAAUGCCGCGUGAGUGAUGAAGGCCUUAGGGUUGUAAAGCUCUUUACCCGGGAUGAUAAUGACAGUACCGGGAGAAUAAGCUCCGGCUAACUCCGUG
rnacentral:rRNA from 1 species